rnacentral:misc_RNA from 1 species
UCUGCCUUAUCGGCAAGCGGUCCCCCUAGAGUGCCCAACUUAAUGAUGGCAACUAAGGGCAAGGGUUGCGCUCGUUGCGGGACUUAACCCAACAUCUCACGACACGAGCUGACGACAGCCAUGCAGCACCUGUCUCCACGUCCCCGAAGGGAACCCCUACUUUCAUAGGGUAGCGUGGGAUGUCAAGCCCAGGUAAGGUUUUUCGCGUUGCGUCGAAUUGAACCACAUACUCCACCGCUUGUGCGGGCCCCCGUCAAUUUCUUUGAGUUUUAAUCUUGCGACCGUACUCCCCAGGCGGGGUACUUAAUGCGUUAGCUGCGACACCGAAAGGGUAAGAACUUCCGACAUCUAGUACCCAUAGUUUACGGCGUGGACUAC